UGAUAUCGUAUAGUGGCAUUACCUCUGG
rnacentral:sRNA from 1 species